rnacentral:misc_RNA from 1 species
CGUAAACAAUGAUUGUGACAAAAUUAACAAAAAACAAAAACAACAACAGAACAGCUCGGAAGGACAGCAGACCAAAAACUUAUUAAUAAAAUGGAUUUAGUGCCAGAAAACUCCUCCAGUGCGCAAUGGCGAUGCGCUUUUCCAAAGGAAUUGCAGCUCGGCAGUUGGUGUCCUUCUUUCGCAGCACUUCAAGCCGAUUCACUAAAAUAUCAAAGCAGUGCCUCUCCAUUCGGAAACUCUCUUUGAAAAACGCCUCGUUGUUUUCUGGUACAUCUUUCUCCCAAAAUGUCCCGAACCGCUUCUAAAACCAUAAAAUAUGUCCUUGUACUUUAAACUUUGGUUGAAGUUAGUAGAAGUACUCACAUACGACCAUAACCUUCCUGGCUUUUGUGUUUUUAUGGCAGUGACCCAGUCAAGCAUCUCAUCUUCGUCAAAGUUAAAGUCCUCAUCGUCAUCAUCAUUAAGCAACAUUAUUAGUUGGUGCAAGAAAAUAUUUUGCUGUGCAACCACAGCCGAAAUAAUUGCUAUAUCUCUAUCAUCCAUUAUUAAGAAUUAAUAAAUCUUCCGCGCAAAUUUAAUGAACUUGUUAUUGGCA